GAGCUCUCUGAAUGUGAAGUGCUGUGCAAACAGUAAUUUAAUGAACACCAAUUGCACCCUGCUAGGACAAGAGCCACAUCAUCCCAGUACUGAGAGUGAAGCCUGAGGAAGAGCUAGCUUAACAAGGGUAUUAGGGCAAGGGCUGAUCUUUCAACUUACUCAUGUGAUUAAACCUCCCACAACAGAAUCAUAUGCAGUUCCAGAGAAAUUUAAGAUUGACAAAAGAUGUGGAUCUGGAUUUCAAGCCAGAGCUUCACUCCCCACCCAGCCCUCGUGCCUGAAAGCAGAGAAGCAGCUGGAUUAUUCUGUGUUAGCACAUCAUGAGAGAUGGCAACAGACCAGGACACAAUUGAUGGAGAUGGGGUGCACUGACACGCUCUGGCAAGAAGAGGCUUUGAGCACUCAUGGCCAUCUCUGGAGACAGGAAUGCACCUUUCAGACAAGUGGAAAGUGAUUUAUCUUUGAUUGGAAAAUGGUAUUAUAUAUAAUGCUCUUAUUGAUCUAUCAUGCUGUUAUCCUCAGAUGUGCUUUCCUUGCAGAACUGUUUUCUGUGUUAAAGAAAUGAGCAGCUGAAAUUCUGAUAAUCCCAAGCUAAAUCUGAAUCAAGCUCAUAAAUCUAAAUAUAAAACUAAUAGCGAGAUGUGAUCAGAGUUUGCAUAUGUCAGCUUCAUUUGCAAAAUCCAAUUCUGACAGGAAAUGGGAGACAAGAAAAUCAUCCUAAGGAGGAUCCUAAUAACCUCCAAAUUUGACUAUUUUUAUCUUUUUUCAUUUGAUCCUCUUUAAGGGUUGAUACAACAGGAUGGUGCUUCCUAUGCAGGAAUCUUAAGAGACACAAAAUAAUGUUAAAAGGUCUUGAUUUACAUCAGAAUGAAAAAAAUAAAAACUUGUAACAAGAGGAGGAUGAGAAGUGAAUUUAAAGGACAUAGUUGCUUUUUCGUAACUUUGCUACUCAGCAGCAGCAGGCAGGAAUUUUCCUAAUUUACCCCGAAGUAUCGGUCCCUGAGUAGUCAAUGGGAAGGAAACACAGCAAUAUUGUUCUGUGUGCUGUCAUAUGACUUCGCCCAGCGGAAAACAGUGGCUUUGCCUGCCCGCCUGAGGGGCCGGGGGAAGCUCCGGCAUCCGCAGCAUCGCCGCUGCCCUCGGCUCCACCGCCGCUCCGUGAGCGCAGGCGAGGCGGCAUCCGCCCGCAAAGCAUUCCCUCUGCAGCAA